CUGUUGGUGGGUUUAUCAAUCUCCUGUCUGGAGGAUGGUGGCCUCCUGUGUGGGGGCUACAAGCUCAUAUUUUCCUUCUGCACUGCGCUGGUAGAGGUUCUCCAAGAGGUUCUGCCUCUGCAGGAGGCUUCCGCCUGGAAACAGCGAGGGGUGGUGCGGGCGGAUCCUUCACCAUUGGUUAAUCUUCCUGAGGCUGAUCUUCUGAUAGUGAGUUCUCAUGAGAUCUGGUUGUAUAACCGGGUGUGGCACCUCUUUCUUCUCUGUAUCUUCUUCUUACUCCUGCCAUAUGGAACAUCUCAUUGUCACUUGGCCUUUUGGUAUGAUUGGGAGGCUUCCUGAGUCCUCCCAGAAGCAGAAGCCACUUGCUGCCUUUACAGCCUGCAGAAACAUGAGCCAGUUAAACCUCUUUUAAAAAUAAUACUACAGAAAAUUUGUACUGUAGAGUGGAGCUAUGAAAUGCCCUCAAGGUUUCUUCAUCUUUUUUUUUUUUACUAUUAGCAUUUGGCUUCUUCUAUAUGCAAAUAUCUGAAGGCUUCUUGAAUUUUCCCCCUGAAAAUGGACUUUUCUUCUUUUACCACAUUGCCAGGCUGCCACAACGGUAGCUGAAAAUGUAGAAGCAGGUUCAGACGUGGGUAACGACCAGAUGCUGCACAGUUUGGGGGGCUUGGAAGAAGACAGAAAGAUGAGGGAAAAUUUGGACUAUUGUAGAGAUGUGUUAAAUUAAAACGGUGACCAUAGAGACUUGUUACAUAGCUAUAAUUAAAAGAGUGACUGAAGGAUGGACAGUGAAGGCCAGACUUAGAAGGUCUCAGAUGAAAAUGAGCAACUUACUGGGAACAGGAGUUAAGGUUACUUUUGUUUUGCCUUAGCAAAGAACUUGGCUGGAUGGUGUUCCUGCCCUGGAGACCUCUGAAACUUUGAACUUGAGAGUGAUAAUUUAGGGUAUAUCUGGUGAAAUGAAGUAGGCAGCAAAGCGCAAGAGGUGUCUUGUCUGUUUUGAACAGCCUGUGGUCUUCUCUGUGACUGAAUAAAUGACCUCAAGUUGAAAGUUAUAUUUAAAUGAGAAGCAGGACUUAAAAGUUUGGAAAAUUUGCAGCCUGGCCAAGUGGUCAAAAAGCAAAGCUGAUUUUCAGUGGGAAAAUUCAAGAAGGCUUCAGAAAUUUGCAUAAAAUGGAGCCCAGUGCUAAUAGCUAAGACAAGGUUAAAAGGUCUUGAAGCCAUUUCAGAGACCUUUGCAGCAGAGCUUGCUGUCACAGGCCCCGAGUUCUAGGACCCAAGAAUGCUUUCCUGGGUGAGUCCCAUGGUCGCGUUGCUGUGUUCAUCCUCAGGACACUGCUGCCUGCAUCCCUGCAGCUCCAGCUCCAGCUCCAGCUCCAGUCACGGCUGAAAGAUGCACAGGUACAGCUUGCAUCACUGCUUCAGGGGUGCAAGCUUCAAACCUUGGUGGCUUCCACAUAGUACUAAGCCAGCAGGUGCACAGAGCACAAAACUAGAGGCUUGGGAGCCUUUGUCUAGACUCCAGAGUAUGUAUGGGAAAACCUGGGUGUUGAGGCAGCAGCUUUUCCAAGAGGCAGAGCCUCAUGGGAAACAUUUACUAGGGCAGUACAGAAGGAACAUAUAGGGUUGUAGCGCCCACACAGGAAUGCACCAUUUUCCAGACCCCAGAUUCAUAGACCCGCCAACUGCUGGCACCCUCAGUGUGGAAAAGCCACAGGCACUCAACACCAGCCCAGCCCAUGAGGUCACCUGUGGGGGAUAGACCCUGCACAGUCACAGAUGCUGAGCUGCCCAAGGCCUUGGGAGCCCAGCUAUCCACCCCUGUGCUCCAGAUGUGGGAUACAGAUUCAGAAAAUAUGAUUUGGGAGCUGUAGGAUUCAAUGACUGGCCUGCUGGGUUUUUGACUUGCAUGGGGUCUGUAAGCCCCAUCUGUUUUUUGUGCUUCUUUCUGGCAAUUUUUUUCCUUUUGGCUGGGAAUGCUUACCCAACGCCUGUACAAUCAUUGCACCUUGGAAGUAGUAAACUUGCUUUAUAUGUAAUUCAGUGGCUCAUGAGCAGAAGGGACUGUAGACUUGCCUCAGAUGAGACUCUGGGCUUUGGGCAUUUCAGUAAAUGCUGGAAUGAGUUAAGAAUUUGGGGGACUGUACAGAAGGCAUCAUUGUAUUUUGUAGUGUGACAAGGAUAUGAGAUUGGGGGGGACCCAUGUCAGAAUAAUAUGAUUUGACUUUUUGUCCCUACCAAUACUCUCAUGGAAUUGUGAUGGUGAAAGUUAAAGGUGGGGCCUGGUGGGAGGUGAUUUAAUCAUGGCGAAGAGUGGGUGUUGGAGGUAGGGGUGUGGGGAGAAUGGUGGAGAUUAUUUUGUGGAUGGGUGUGAAAGAUGAGGGUGGGGAUUGGAUUCUUCAUAAAUUGUUUAACACUGUCUCCUUAAUGCUGUCUGCAUGAUAGUGAGUUCUCUUGAUGAUUACAGAGCUGUGAGAUACUGUAUUGAAUGAAUACUGUCCUGCUGGGGUUUGGACUUGCAUUUGUGUUAUUUUUCUGGGGAAUUUCUUCCCUUUGGAUUGAGAAAACUUACCCAAUGCCUAUUGUACCUUGAAGGAAAAGAAAUCCCUUUUAAAUUCAGGGACUCAUUGGCAGAAGGGAUUGUAACCUUGUCUCAGAUGAGACUUUGAAAUUUUUACAUUUGGAAUGAGUUAAGACUUUUGGAAACUUUUGAAAAGGCAUGAUUGUGUUUUGCUCUGUGAGAAGGACAUGAGGUUCUGGGGUAUCAGGGUCAGAAUAAUAUGGGUUGGCUGUGUGUCCCUGUAAAACUCACGUGUCAUCCUUAAUGUCGGAGGUGUGCCAGGUGGGAGGUGAUUUAAUCUUGG
rnacentral:lncRNA from 10 species